GACGAACGCUGGCGGCGUGCCUAACACAUGCAAGUCGAACGGAAAGGCCUUUUCCGAGCUCCUCUAGUGGCGGAGGCGGGAGUAACACGUGGGUGAUCUUCCCCGCACUCUGGGAUAAGGCUGGCAAACUGGGACCAAUACCGGUUAGGACCGCACUUUCGUGCGUGAUGUGGCAAUUUUUUACGGUGUAGGUUGAGCCCGCGGCCUAUCGGCUUGUUGGUGGGGUGAUGGGUUACCAAGGCGACGGUGGGCAGCGCGACUGAGGGGUUGGUCGGCCACAUUGACACUGAGAUGCGGCCCAGGCUCCUACGCGAGGGAGAGGUGGGAAAUAUUGCACGAGGGGCGCAGGCCUGAUGCAGCGGCGCCGCGUGGGGGAUGACGGCCUUCGGGUUGUAGACUCAUUGCGCCAGGGACGAAGCGUUUUGUGACGGUACCUGAAGAGGAAGCCCCGGCUAACUACGUG
rnacentral:rRNA from 1 species